GACAGAGGUCCCGAGCGUUAGGCGGAAUCACUGGGCUUAAAGCGUGUGUAGGCGGAUGCCUAAGUACCUUGUGAAAUCCCACGGCUCACCCGUGGAACUGCUUGGUAUACUGGGUGUCUUGAGCCACUUAGGGGCUACCGGAACAAGCGGUGGAGCGGUGAAAUGCGUAGAUAUCGCUUGGAACGCCAAAGGUGAAAACAGGUUGCUGGGGAUGAGCUGACACUGAGACGCGAAAGCCAGGGGAGCGAACGGG
rnacentral:rRNA from 1 species